rnacentral:rRNA from 1 species
UACGUAGGGGGCAAGCGUUGUCCGGAAUCAUUGGGCGUAAAGCGCGCGUAGGCGGCCCGGUAAGUCCGCUGUGAAAGUCAGAGGCUCAACCUUUGAAUGUCAGCGGAUACUGCCAGGCUAGAGUCCGGAAGAGGCGAGUGGAACUCCUGGUGUAGCGGUGGAAUGCGCAGAUAUCAGGAAGAACACCAACGGCGAAGGCAGCUCGCUGGGACGGAACUGACGCUGAGGCGCGAAAGCGUGGGGAGCGAACAGG